rnacentral:misc_RNA from 1 species
GAAAUGCGAUAAGUAAUGUGAAUUGCAGAAUUCAGUGAAUCAUCGAAUCUUUGAACGCAUAUUGCGCCCCUUGGUAUUCCGAGGGGCAUGCCUUUUCGAGCGUCAUUACAACCGUCAAGCUCUGCUUGGUAUUGGGCCUCUGUCCCCACGCGGGCGGGCCUCAAACUUAUCAGCGGCCGAGAGAACGGCAUUCUAGCGUAGUAGAAAUUAACUCGCCAGGGACCGGCCUCAGGUAGCUGUCAAACCCGCGCCUUUGGGUGCAUCUUAGGUUGACCUCGGAUAAGGUAGGGAUACCCGCUGAACUUAA